rnacentral:sRNA from 12 species
AUCGCCGCCGGACGGAGCGGGCCGCGAGGGUUGGGGAACCCGGUGACCGGGUCGUUUCCGAGACGGAGCCGGGUCUUAGGGAGCCCGGCACCGGUCGCUCUGGCGAAGGAG